CAUACCAACGCCAGCUUUAAUCAAGCCUGUUGAACUUUGGAAUGGAAAGCAGCUAUUCAGUGUUCUUGUACGGCCUAAUGCAAAUACAAGAGUCUAUUUGAAUUUUACUGUCAAAGAAAAAAUCUUCAGUAAACCUGAUAGAGUUUGCCUGACAAUGUAUCCACGAGAUGGCUAUGUCUAUUUUCGGAACAGUGAACUCAUAUGUGGGCAACUUGGGAAAGCUACCCUAGAAGUCCAUGUUAGUGCAUCCAAGAACCUGAAAUUUGGAGGAUGCUUGCAAGUUGCUAAAGAAAUUGGAAAGAGGAAUUAAUGAGUGGAUGUGGCUACCUUCCAGCGGUGCUUCAGUGGGAACUUUGCAGUUUGAGCUAAUGAUAUUGGCUGAGCUGCAGUAUCAUGUUGGUAAAUAUUUAUUCUGGUCAUUUUCAGUAAUGUUUAGAUUAAUAUGAAGUUGUUUCUAGCUGAUGUUUAUUGCCAAAAUGUUAGUAAUUUAAAGGGAUGACUUUGGGAGGCAUUUAGUAAACAUCAUCAAAUGUUGCCGCAGUU